rnacentral:rRNA from 1 species
GUGACCUCAAAUCAGGUAGGACUACCCGCUGAACUUAAGCAUAUCAAUAAGCGGAGGAAAAGAACUAACAAGGAUUCCCCUAGUAACUGCGAGUGAAGCGGGAAAAAGCUCAAUUUAANNAUCUGCAGUCUUUCGCUGUCCCGAGUGUAUCUAGAGAAAGUGUAUCGCGCUGNACCGUGUACNAGUCUCCUGNAAUGNAGCAUCAUAGAGGGUGAGAAUCCCGUCUUUGACAUGACUGCCAGGCUUUGUGAGCCUCUCAAGGAGCGAGUUGUUU